rnacentral:ribozyme from 1 species
AAAAUAAAAAAUAAAGAUAAAGAGACUGCUGCUGGAAGAAAGAGCCAUCAAUAAAUUCUUUUCCUUUCGUCUCUUACGAUCGUGUCUUUUUCUUUUUUCUUUA